CCUAUGAAGGAGGAAAGGGGCAAGUAUAAACAUUCAGUUCAGUUUCAUUCCCUUUCAUCAUUCAAAAUUUGAGAGUAAUGAUACUUCCUUCAUUGUACUACAUGAGGAUUAAAAUAGAUAAAAGUCACCCAGAGAAUGGACUUUGGAAGGAAGAAUAUAUGCAUGUGAGUUCAGUUUGGUCGCACUCCAGAUCUUUGGCCUUUGGCAUACUGUUAGCUAUAACAUUUGAAUUUAUAUCUCCUUCUCCAGGAUUCUCAAAAGCAUACACAUGAGAAACCUAACCCACUUACCAUGAAUAUUAAGUGUGUUGAUGAAAAAUAUGUAGCGUGUAACUAUCUUGCAAUAAAAUUAAUAUA